CCACUACUCCCACAUACAGUUGCUAGUAACCAAGGAGGACCCGGAUGAUUAAAAAAAAACAUGAUGGAUUUUAUCAGAAGAGGUAAUCAUUUUCACAGGAAAAGUAGCUGAGUGACACAAU